CUUUUCCCCUCUUGCACGAUCACUUUCUCCUUUCCAUUUUUCUUUUCCUUUUCUCUUUUCUUCCUCCUUUCCCUCACGCAUGCCACCUUCUCUUUUCCUCUUCCUUUCUUUCAUUUUCCUCUCUUUUCCCCUUCCUCACGCAGCACCUCUCUCCCAUUUCUCCCUUUCUCAUUUCUUCUUCUACCCAUAACAAACCGUGAGAGAGAGAGAGAGAGAGAGAGAGAGAGCUACCAUGGGAGAGAUCGGCGCCGAGAGGUGCGAUUUUUGGAGUGGGUCUUCGGCGGGUCGACGGAGGUAGAACCAGAGAGCGAUUUCCGGCGGGUUUCCGGUGAUGGGUAACAAAAAGAUGAUGUUCCUUUGGUUGCAGGUAUUUCAGUCGUAGUUGAUGGUGUUGUAGAAGUGUACUUUGAAUAUUAUGACUGAAGCCCACCGCGACGGUCAUAAUUGUGGGACUAUGGGCGUCCUCUAUUUUAUAGGUUUGGUAUAUGUCUUGUGACGCUUGUGUCACAUAUUAUUUGUAAAGCCAUUCUUUGAUGCAAUAAUUAUUUGGAUAAGCCUUAAAUAGAUAGACAUUAUGACUCUUUUUGUGUAAAUAUCAGUUUAUGUUUAUAGAUGUGACUUCUGCUAUUCA